UGGCUCAGAACGAACGCUGGCGGCGUGCCUAAUACAUGCAAGUCGAGCGGACAGAUGGGAGCUUGCUCCCUGAUGUUAGCGGCGGACGGGUGAGUAACACGUGGGUAACCUGCCUGUAAGACUGGGAUAACUCCGGGAAACCGGGGCUAAUACCGGAUGGUUGUCUGAACCGCAUGGUUCAGACAUAAAAGGUGGCUUCGGCUACCACUUACAGAUGGACCCGCGGCGCAUUAGCUAGUUGGUGAGGUAACGGCUCACCAAGGCGACGAUGCGUAGCCGACCUGAGAGGGUGAUCGGCCACACUGGGACUGAGACACGGCCCAGACUCCUACGGGAGGCAGCAGUAGGGAAUCUUCCGCAAUGGACGAAAGUCUGACGGAGCAACGCCGCGUGAGUGAUGAAGGUUUUCGGAUCGUAAAGCUCUGUUGUUAGGGAAGAACAAGUGCCGUUCAAAUAGGGCGGCACCUUGACGGUACCUAACCAGAAAGCCACGGCUAACUACAUGCCAGCAGCCGCGGUAAUACGUAGGUGGCAAGCGUUGUCCGGAAUUAUUGGGCGUAAAGGGCUCGCAGGCGGUUUCUUAAGUCUGAUGUGAAAGCCCCCGGCUCAACCGGGGAGGGUCAUUGGAAACUGGGG
rnacentral:rRNA from 1 species